rnacentral:sRNA from 1 species
GGAAUCUGCUCAGCAGUACUGUGAAGACAAUGUCCCUUAUCAUAUCAAUAAUGCAGAAGCAUCAGAAUAUAAAACAACCUGUGAAGCAGAAGCAACAUUAAUUUGUAAAAGUGGAUGGGUUCAGAUGUUUGGAAGGUGCUACAAGAUCACUAAGACGAUGAUGACACGUGAUAAAGCUGAAGAACAUUGCAAGAAUCAACAGGAUCAUACAUCGACAAUUGCAUUCAUGCAUAGAGAAGCAUUGCCUUUUAGAUGGAAUGGUUGGUUUUCAACUAUCCAAAGCAAAGCUUAUUAUGUCAAUUUCAGAUUACUUCACUCGUGUUUCUCGUAUCUGGAUGGAUGCAAGUAAAGUUAUCACGAAUGAUUUGAUCUAUGACAUCGAAGAUGGUAAUGUUCUUCUGGCAUUCGAUGGAUAUAAAUACAAUCUUCCAAAUGUUGCAAUUGCUCGUGUUCCUAAGGAUGAAACUGCAAUGGUUCUAUGCGAGUACACUCCACCAAUGACAAAAUCAGAGAGCAACUACUUGCUCAGAAGAUAUGGGGAGAUCUAUUAUCCACCUCUUGUCACAUCAGAAUCUGUGUACAUGAGUACAACAAGCAGUCGAAUCCGUGAUGAAACUGAUCAAUUUGCUGACAACAAGUACUGUACCAAUGUGAUGCGUCCUAUAUUCAGAGGAUUAGCUGCUCGAUCAGCGUUUCCUACUAAAGAAUUUGUGGACAAAUUGGAAAAAGAAGCAGCUAUAAUUAGAUCAGCCACAGUUUCACAGAGUGCGAAUCAAAAAGGCAGAGAAGAAUCGGAGUGUGUAGUCAAUCAAAAACCAAUUCACCAAGUGUUUGCUAGUGGUCAGGUGAGGAGUAAUUAAUAUGACAUUGCUGAUAAUGCUUAAAAAUUAGUCUACUUAUUAGUCCAUUAUUGUAUUGCAGGGUGGAAAGACUUUGAAUGUGAAAAUAGAUCAAGCAUUAUGGAGAAAGGGUGAACCAAAAGAAACAUGUGAUGCCGCUUCUUGGAGUUCAGCAAUAGUUUUGAGGUAUCUUAAACUCUGUCUGAUUUUCCAUUUUCUAAUCCUAAUACUUUCAGUCGUGAUGGAGAAAAGGGACUUGAAACAAUGUCUGACGCCCGUUACGCUCCUAUCUAUUGUGAAGCUAUCCUAGACAAGUAUGAGUAUGGGCCCUGUCCUGCAGGAUUUUUACAAUAUGAUCGUACUGAAUUAGGAAUACGGUGGUGCCACAAACUCUAUUCGGAAUUAGAAACAACGUACGAUGAUGCAGAGAAGGAAUGCUUGUCAUUAGGGGCUCAUGUUUCCGGUUUUUCGGAUUUGAAGGAAAAAGACUUCAUGCACGGUAAGUAUUUUUAAAAGAAUAGUUGUUUUAUUGUACUUAUACAUUAGCUCCCAAAGAAUAUUACUUCAGACAUGAUAAUGGCCUCUCCGAUCAAAAAUAAGACAUUCAAUCGAGUGUGGAUUGGAGCUCAGAGAAGACCGGAAUGCAAUACUUUAGGUGUCGAAGGUAAAACCGGUGGAUUCGAUACUGAUGACUCCAAACCAUGUGCCCGUUCCCGCGUGUUUUAUUGGCUUCAUGGAGUUGCCCUGAAUCCACCAGAUUUCAUUGAGCACUGGGCGGAUCCCAAUGAACCGAAUUUUCUUGGAGAUAAAGAGAAGUGUGUUGUUGUAAUGACAGGAAGUGAGUGGACUCAUUGGAAAUUUGGCAUAAACAAAAAAAUCAAUGAUGUUUCCUGUGGCAGACGUUAUCCAUUUUUCUGUGGAAAAGAAGCACCGAUUGUAAAAGUGACCAAGUGAACGGCUCUCAUUCUCUACAGUUUAAUAAAUAUUGAUAUAGAACAUUUGUUCACUUGCAACACGAAAGAGAACUGGAAAUCCGCUUAUUCGGCUAAUUCAAUUCUUAAAGUAUUUUACAUUUACUCGCGUAUUUAUUCUAGCCCUACAAUGAGGAUUACACCCAUACAGACACGAAUUUUAUUGUUGUCGUUUGUAUUCUUCACCUAUGAUUUAUCACUUGUGGUAUCCUUAACUUAACUUGAAGUACAGCAACGGCCUAAAAAGUAUUUGAAAAUCCGAAUGAAAAAUUACAAAAAGGCAGGAUAAAAUUAGUUUCUACCUUAUUUUAUUUCAUUAUUAUUAAACCGUUUUAGAUUACACCUGAAUUGCCAGUAGACAGGCACAUUUUCAGUAUAUUUUCCGUGAUUAUUUUCAUUCCGUGAUUAUUUUCAUUCCGUGAUUAUUUUCAUUCCGUGAUUAUUUUCAUUCCGUGAUUAUUUUCACUCGGGAAUCGCUCGCCCACUAUGGGGGAGUCUACGCAAGGACAACGCAAGGACAAGGACAACAUUCUAAUGGAAUGGAAACAAUUGCCCGACUGCACCAAUUCUAGUUCAAGCGAACAAUGAUAACUUUUGUAUUCUGUAUUCCUUCACGUCUCCCAGCGAGCGUAAUAAAUUAUUAUUAUUAUUUUCAGUAUAUUUUCAGUAUAUUUUAUAGUAUACACGUUAAUAUCCGAUUACUUUUUCAAAUCUAAGUAAUAAUUCGUAACGCGAGAGAAACACGUUUCGGCGUGUCAGCAUGGUUUGUUUUUUUUUGCUUAUAAGCAAACUUUCGCAAGAAACAAUCAGUUCUUAAUUUGAACGAGUUGCUCUGAGGUUAGUAAUUGUUGUAUGCUUGUGAUACUAUUCAAAUUGUUUCCGUUUCAGCAACCAACAACAAAAGAUACGAAUUAUAAUUUUCAUGGCUAUAUGCAUUUUGCAUUAUACAAAUGCUCAACUGGCAAGAGAUUGGAGUUUCCAACAAAUGUGCAAUUUUUGGGGUGGAGAGCAAACUUAUCAUGCAAGAAAAGAUGGAUUUAAGGUUAGUUACAGAAAUCUGACAGUGUUUUUUUUCAAUAGUUGGCUGAAAAUAGGAAGAAAAAGAAGAAAAAACCACAACAAUGGUUAGACAUCCAAAAAAAGUUUUAAAAUGUGUAAAUUGAACUCAAAAUAAAAUUAUAAUUUUUCAGUCGUUAGAAGGUGACAAGUGUACGUUCAAUUUUCCAAAAGCCUCCGAUAAUCAG